rnacentral:rRNA from 1 species
CAAGGGGUAGCAGCGUAGACGUGCAAGUCGAACGAUGAAGCCCAGCUUGCUGGGUGGAUUAGUGGCGAACGGGUGAGUAACACGUGAGUAACCUGCCCUUGACUCUGGGAUAAGCGUUGGAAACGACGUCUAAUACCGGAUACGAGCUUCCACCGCAUGGUGAGUUGCUGGAAAGAAUUUUGGUCAAGGAUGGACUCGCGGCCUAUCAGCUUGUUGGUGAGGUAAUGGCUCACCAAGGCGACGACGGGUAGCCGGCCUGAGAGGGUGACCGGCCACACUGGGACUGAGACACGGCCCAGACUCCUACGGGAGGCAGCAGUGGGGAAUAUUGCACAAUGGGCGAAAGCCUGAUGCAGCAACGCCGCGUGAGGGACGACGGCCUUCGGGUUGUAAACCUCUUUUAGCAGGGAAGAAGCGAAAGUGACGGUACCUGCAGAAAAAGCACCGGCUAACUACGUGCCAGCAGCCGCGGUAAUACGUAGGGUGCAAGCGUUGUCCGGAAUUAUUGGGCGUAAAGAGCUCGUAGGCGGUUUGUCGCGUCUGCUGUGAAAUCCCGAGGCUCAACCUCGGGUCUGCAGUGGGUACGGGCAGACUAGAGUGCGGUAGGGGAGAUUGGAAUUCCUGGUGUAGCGGUGGAAUGCGCAGAUAUCAGGAGGAACACCGAUGGCGAAGGCAGAUCUCUGGGCCGCUACUGACGCUGAGGAGCGAAAGGGUGGGGAGCAAACAGGCUUAGAUACCCUGGUAGUCCACCCCGUAAACGUUGGGCGCUAGAUGUGGGGACCAUUCCACGGUUUCCGUGUCGUAGCUAACGCAUUAAGCGCCCCGCCUGGGGAGUACGGCCGCAAGGCUAAAACUCAAAGGAAUUGACGGGGGCCCGCACAAGCGGCGGAGCAUGCGGAUUAAUUCGAUGCAACGCGAAGAACCUUACCAAGGCUUGACAUAUACGAGAACGGGCCAGAAAUGGUCAACUCUUUGGACACUCGUAAACAGGUGGUGCAUGGUUGUCGUCAGCUCGUGUCGUGAGAUGUUGGGUUAAGUCCCGCAACGAGCGCAACCCUCGUUCUAUGUUGCCAGCACGUAAUGGUGGGAACUCAUGGGAUACUGCCGGGGUCAACUCGGAGGAAGGUGGGGACGACGUCAAAUCAUCAUGCCCCUUAUGUCUUGGGCUUCACGCAUGCUACAAUGGCCAGUACAAAGGGCUGCAAUACCGUAAGGUGGAGCGAAUCCCAAAAAGCUGGUCCCAGUUCGGAUUGAGGUCUGCAACUCGACCUCAUGAAGUCGGAGUCGCUAGUAAUCGCAGAUCAGCAACGCUGCGGUGAAUACGUUCCCGGGCCUUGUACACACCGCCCGUCAAGUCAUGAAAGUCGGUAACACCCGAAGCCAGUGGCCUAACCGCAAGGCUGGAGAAGUCUGAUAGAGUUUGCA